rnacentral:misc_RNA from 1 species
GAACGCUGAAGAGUCACAGCAACUGCAGCCUCCCAACUGCCUUCUACGCAUACGCUCGAGUGUGCAUGUGUGUGCGCGUGUGCAUAUUCACUAAACGACUACCAGUCUCUCGCGCGUUCACAUUUUGGCCCCCCCUCUGUCCUUCCCUUGCCGCGCUGAACGAUGAAGCUAGUACUUUUCCUCGGCAGCGUCGGGGCUGCGUUGGGGUGGUCGUACUUGAGGCACAUUCAGCUGCCCGUGGGCCCGUCGCGGCUCCUGUGGGGCGGCGUCGUGUUCGGGCACCGUGGGUGCCGUGGUGUGGCGGGGACGCCGGAGAACACGCUGGAGGCAUUCCGGCACGCAGCCGCAUCCGGGUGUGGCGGUAUCGAAUGCGAUGCUCGCCUCACCAAAGACAACGAAGUCGUCAUCUUUCACGACGCCUUCGUCAACGGCCACCUCCGCGACGUCCCGCCGACGCGCCGCAUCGAUGAGCUGACGCUGUUUGAGCUGCGCCAGUGCACCUUCACGGCCGACCCCACGGGAAAGGUCCGCGUUCCUACACUGGAGGAAGCCAUCUUGUUCUGUCGUGAUAAUAACAUGCGCAUGUUGAUCGAGGUGAAAGAUCUGAAGCGAACGUAUCUAUGCACGGACAAGGUGCUCGAACUCUACCGCCGCUAUCCGGACUACAUGUACGAUCAGACCACCCUCAUUUCCUUUCACAGCGGUGCCCUCUACCAUGCCAGGAAAGUGGACAAGCGAGUUGCAGUGUGCCAGCUGUACGCUGCGAGCAUGGUGCGCUCGUGGAUUGCGCUGAAAGUCGACACGCUGCCGUGGGUGCUGCGCCUUUGCCCGGCGUUUUGGGAUUGCGUACUGCUCUUUGUGUAUGAGAGGGUGAUACCGUGGCUGACGGGCUGCUCCAUGGUGGGGCCGCGCCAUGACCUGUUCACCGAGGCGAGCCGCAGGCGCUGGGUUACGCGGAACAUCUGCAUGUACCUGUGGGGUUCGAGUGCGCCGAGCAGUACACGCCAGCGAUGCGGCAACCGGGUGUGUGCAUCUCGAGUGACGAAUACAAAGAAGGCUUUGGAACACCGAAGCCACCGCCAAACUACGACAUAUUCGGUGAUCGGCAGCGGGAGUUGGAGAGACAGCAGGAUGCGACGUGUAAGCGGCUGCGCAUUGGCAAGUAGCUGGCUAGUCACAGCGAAGCGUUGCGUGACAGCCGGUGAGCGGCGCUUGAAUGAGUGAGGGGCAAAGCGGAUGCGACGCGAGCUCAUGGCAAUGUGGUGCAGCGCUUAAUACGUACCCCCUCCCUCCCUCCCUCUUAUCCCCCUCCCUCAUCCCUGGGGCUGGGCUUGCUCUUUAUGCUUUCCAUUGUGGUCCCCCUUCCAUCUUGCUUUGUGAGCGAAUAACGAGACAGCGGUGCAGUCGCACAGCUGCACAGGUGCAGUAAGAUACAUACCUGCAUCCACAUAUAUACACAAUGCAGUCAUUAAAGUCACGGUGAUUGCUGGUCUUUGCUGAAGCUAGAGGCGCUCAGCAAGCAGCUGCAUCCUGAUCGCGCUCCCCUGUCCGUGUGUGUGUGUGUGUAUGUGUGUGUGGAUUCGCCAGAGCGUCUUUGCUGCGCCACGAGUGUGUCUCUGUGCGUGUAGCGCGUGCUUCUGUGCCUUCCUUCACCUCUUUCCUUCUGCACUUACGCGUUAAGCUGAACACACGCACAACAACGAGACACAUGUAUAUGUGUGUAGCGGUAGCGGCAGUCGAAUCGCAAGUUCCGCUUCGGCGGCCGCGAGGGACGAGGGCUGAUGAUACUUCCUCUGCUUCUUCGGGCCUGGAAGGCCAAUCUCGCUUCACCGCUGCCCCUGAAGGCGACAAGGAGUGGGGGGACGGCGUGCUGCGCCUCACCAUUU